rnacentral:piRNA from 1 species
UAGAGAACAAACACAACUAUGACUACCUGGU